CGAAGCUCUUUGGGAAACACUCGCAGAACUGGCUCGUUCUUUACUCACGUCAUUCGUUAGUUCGUUCGUUAUUCGCUAAGAUUGAUCGUUUUCGGGAAACCCACCCCUGUUCUGAGAGUGAAGCUCUUCAGUUCCUGAUCUUUAUUAAAGAUGUGCUGUGUGUUGGAGUUUCACUGUGUAAAUGCUGGAGUUUCACUGUGUUUAAUGUUAACAGAACUGAAACCCAGAGAGGAGCUUCUCCAGAACCCAGCUGUGUUUCUAUGAAGAGUGACCGGUCCAUCGAUCAUCCUCCU